GCGAACGGGUGAGUAACGCGUGGGUAACCUACCUCUUAGCGGGGGACAACUAUUGGAAACGAUAGCUAAUACCGCAUAACAAUGAUAAACACAUGUUUAACAUUUGAAAGUACCAAUUGGUACACUAGGAGAUGGACCCGCGUUGUAUUAGCUAGUUGGUAGUGUAAUGGACUACCAAGGCGAUGAUACAUAGCCGACCUGAGAGGGUGAUCGGCCACAUUGGGACUGAGACACGGCCCAAUCUCCUACGGGAGGCAGCAGUAGGGAAUCUUCGGCAAUGGACGAAAGUCUGACCGAGCAACGCCGCGUGAGUGAAGAAGGUUUUCGGAUCGUAAAACUCUGUUGUUAGAGAAGAACGUUGUGUAGAGUGGAAAAUUACACAAGUGACGGUAUCUAACCAGAAAGGGACGGCUAACUACGUGCCAGCAGCCGCGGUAAUACGUAGGUCCCGAGCGUUGUCCGGAUUUAUUGGGCGUAAAGC
rnacentral:rRNA from 1 species